ACUCGCGCUGCAGUCUCUGGGUAUACAAACUUCGCGGCCCGAUCGCAGAUGACUGUAAACCGAAAAAAUCCACUCGCUGUGCUUGAAAAAAACGACUAAAUAUACUGCGCAAUAUACCCCGAGGAACUCGCCUUAGGAACUUUCGUAGCUACGUUGCUCCAAAUAUUUGGACUGGGUCUGAAUACUGCGCUGUAUUUCCUGUAAAAUAUGGCUGCUAAGGUUGGCAGUACUUUCCAAGAUCGACGGGCAGGCAAAGCCGGCGUAUGCGAAGCUGCC